CCUCCGAGAGGGAGCAGGGAGACUCCUAGGGGUGGUUUUAGGCAGUGGCCCGAAUUGCUCCCCUUGAACUAGGACCCCAGUUAAAGGGGGUCAUAGAGGGGAGCACGCCCGACACUCUGAACUAGGACCCCAGUUGAGGGGGGUCAUAGGAGUGUCUGGGUGGGGGUUAGUGAGGCAGAUUUGCCCGGUGGGGGGGUUUUUCUGCCCACUAACUAAAACCAUCCGGAGGGCUGUUCCUCAGAGGCAGACAGAGAGAGGUCUGACCUCUGAGGAACUAGGACCUUAGGUGUGGGAAGGAAUACUCUCACACGGAGACUGAGUGUUUAAAGCAGCCACCGUGUGGGGGAGUGCCCCUUUUUCCAGGCCAGGGAAGGGGAGGGUGCCCCACCUAAGGGAAAUAGGAACCUCCGAACUAGGACCCCAGUCGAAGGGGGUCAUAGGAGGAAGUAGGCUACCCCGAGCUAGGAUCCUAGCCAAAGAGGGUCGUAGGGGUAGCUGAAAAUAUCUUCACAGGAGUGGUGACCCACAGGGGGGAGGUGGGCCACCAGCUGUGGAAGGGCCUUUCCAGUCACUAGGACUGGAAAGGAGGUUAGAACUGGCCUGGAACUAGGGAAAAGAUUUUUUUAAUUAUUAUUUAAAUUGUGUUCGGGAUAUAAGGAGUAAGGUUCUGGGGUGAGGGCUAGCCCAAAAGUCCCCAGACGACUCCCAAGUGAUUUUUUUUAAGUGCGGGCUGGUAGGCAGCCAUUUUAAGUGCUCCUUUGUCCUGGUGAUUUUUAAGUGUGUGGGCUGUGAAGCAGCCAUUUUGAGUUCUUACUGUGUGGCAGAUAUUAGCCGAGCGGCGGCCAUUUUGAGUUAAGUGUGUGCUUUGUGGUGUGAAGGCUGUGGAGCAGCCAUUUUAAGUUCUUAUUGUGUGGUGGCUAUUGGCCGAGCGGCGGCCAUUUUGAGAAAGUGAAACAGUACCCAGAAAACUAAGUGGCUAUUUUAAUUAAAGGUUUAAUUAAAUUGUUAGUUAAAUUUCCUUACAAAGUGCUGUUUAGAUUUUUGAUUCUCUUAAAACAGAUUAGUUUACUCCUUUAAUUGAAUGGUUCCCAUUUUAUUACAUUGGAGCCAUUACUUACUGUAAUUCCUUAUAAAUCUAAGAUAUAGUUAAUUUCUUUAAAACUUAUUAUUUUGUUGUAAUUCCUACAUUUUGCCAUUUUAUUCAUAAAAUCCAAAUUCGACAUCUUUAUUUUAAUUCCUACGUCCUGCCAUUUUGAUUAAUUUAUUAUCCUAUAGCUGUUUUACUUAAAUUGUAAAAGUUAUUAAAAUUCAUUUAUAUAAAAUCAGCCAUCUUUAUUUCAAUUCCAACAUCCUGUCAUUUUCUUUAUUAUAUCUUUAUUUCAUUUAUCAUAGGACGCCAUAUUUAUUUUUAUUUUAUUUCUAUAAAAUCCGCCAUCUUUAUUUUGAUUCCCACCUUAAACAGCCAUAUUUAUUUUAUUUCAUUUACAUAAAAUUGGCCAUCUUUAUUUCAAUUCCCACGUUUAAGUGGUUCCCACAGUUAACUCCCGUGCCCUGUUAUUUUAUCUGUUUUAUUCAAAUCAUCAUAUUUAUUUCAUUUCUAUAAAACCCGCCAUAUUUAUUUCAAUUCCCACCAUACGUUGUCAUAUUUAUUUUCUUGCAUUUCAAUUCCCACGCUUGGUGUUGCCUAUAUUUAGUUAUAUUUGAUCUUUUUAAACAGUGUUGCUGGUGUGUAUUAAAGAAUAAGAGGAGAAGUUUAAACGCUAAAAAAUGGGACAGUGUGCAGGAAAGAGUGUAACUAAGAAAAGAAAGGUGAAGCAAACCUUUAAGAGCAUACCUCCCAGUAGUCCAUUGGGGAAAAUGUUAGAUAACUGGGACGAUAAUGAGAACUUAAAAGAAUUAAAUAGAAUACAAAUGAUAAAGUAUUGCACAGAAAUAUGGCCUAAAGAAAGCAUAGCUGAAGGUCCAGUAUAUUGGCCAUGGUAUGGCACUGAAGAAAAGUGGUUGUGUAUGGCUUUAAACAGAUAUGUUAAUACCAGGGUAGAGCCAUGCCAACAGGAAAUUGAAUAUGCUAAAUGUUGGCUGGAAAAGGAGAAGCAAGAAGGAGAAAUAAGAGUGUAUAAGGUUUCCAAAGAAAAGGAAAAAGAAGUUAAUAAGGUACCAGAAAGGAGGUGGGACCCAUUAGACCAUCUUCCUCCUCCACCUCCUCCAGAUCCAAUAGAAUACCUCCCAUUACCUCCUCCUUCCUCAAGUUCACCCAUACAUGAUUUGCCACCACCUCCCCCAGAGUUAUACCCCACAAUACCAACCUCAAGGGAAAAAUUGAGACAAGGCACAAAUAUAGAAACAAUAAAAUCACCUCCCUCCUUAAGUAGAGAACACCAUAUUGUAAAUGUAUCUUCCUCUGUGCCAUCUCCCCUCCCAGUAACACCUGAGCCUGAGCACUCAAAUUCAUCUUUAAUUUUGCCAAAUGCAUCAAAUUCUUCAAAUACUACCCAAAGUACCCCUACCCCUAUAGCAAUUCCUAAAACCUUCCAAAAUCCCCCUUUUUAUUUUUUCCCUAUAUUUCCACCAAUCCCCCAAAAUCCCAUUUUUGGUACUCCUUUCUAUAUACCUCAUGUACCCCAAAACCCUAAAAGUCAAAUAGAGGAAGAGCCUGUAAGAGUAGGAACAACCUGUUGUUGUAAAGAUAAAGAAGAAAAUAAAAUAACUGAGCAGGACAAACAUGUUGAGGGUCAUCCAUAUAACACAAGGUUCCAAGUAAAGAAGAUGAAGGAAAAUCUAGAAAAGACUGAGAAAUUAUUUCCUCUAAGGGAAGUACCUAUGGGUGGAGCCAGGGGAGGUAUAGGGUUUGUGAAUGCUCCUUUAACCGCUUCAGAGGUCAGAAACUUUAAGAAGGAAAUUAAACCCCUCCUGGAAGAUCCUAUAGGUAUCUCCCAACAAUUAGAUCAGUUUUUAGGACCUAAUAUUUACAUGUGGGAGGAACUAAAUUCAAUUAUGGACAUACUAUUUUCUUUAGAAGAAAUACAAAUGAUCAGAGCAGCAGGCAUGAGAAUAUGGGAGAGAGAAAAUCGAGGUGGCCCUAAAGGGGAAGACAAAAUGCCACUUAAUGUACCAGACUGGGAUCCCAACGAGGAGGAGGGAAGAGCAAACAUGAGACAAUACAGGACAUUAAUAAUCAGAGGAAUACGAGAGGCGGUACCAAGAACCAAUAAUGCCCGACUAGCUUUUGACAGCCAACAGGAGAAGGAUGAGUCUCCAAGUACUUGGUUGGAGAGGUUAAAAAGAAAUUUUCAACUAUAUUCAAGUGUAGAUCCAGAUAGCCCGGAAGGGCAAGUGUUAGUCAAAAUACAAUUUGUUACGAAAGCAUGGGUGGAUAUAAGAAGGAAGCUAGAAAAGAUAGAUGAUUGGCAAGAAAAGGGUAUGAAUGAACUGUUAAGAGAAGCACAGAAGGUAUAUUUGAGGAGAGAUGAGGAGAAGACAAGAACCAAGGCUAAAACCAUGGUAGCAGUAGCAAGAGAAAGUGCAGGAUUUGGAAAUGAUGGAUCGACUAGAGAGGGAAGGGAUAAGUAUACUGGACCUAGAGGAAAUGAAUUUAAAAAGCCAUUUGGAGGAAACAGUGAAUAUACUAAAGACAGUAGAACACCGUGGAUGGAAAGGAGACCACCAUGGGCAGAGAUUACAUGUUUUUAUUGUGGAGAGAAAGGACACACAAGGAACUUUUGUAAAAAGAGAAAAAUAGAUGUUGCUGUGUCCCAAGAACAAGAGGAAUUAGAAAGAAAGCUUAGAGGGAACGAUUAGGGGUGUCGGGGGCUCUAUGCUCUGAGGGAUGGAUUAGGUUAUCAAAAGGAGCCCCUGGUAAACUUGGAAAUUGGCCCUCAGAGCGAGGAAACUGAAUUCUUAGUAGACACUGGAGCAGACCGAUCAAGCGUUUCAAAAAUCCCAAAAGGAUGCAAAUUGAGUAAUAGGACUUGCAAAGUUAGAGGUGCUGAAAAUAAUCCUUUUGAAGUACCUAUCAUAGAGGAUGUAACAGUGAAGGGAAGUUUCAGAGAAGGCUGUACUGACCUCCUAUAUUUGCCAGAACUUGAUUCAAAUCUCCUAGGCCGGGACUUACAGGUACAACUAAAAAUAGGAGUGGUGCCAGAAGGAAAGCAUAUGGUAGCAAAGAUGAUGUUAUUAAAAGAUGAAGAUGAAAAAGGAAUUAACGCAAAUGUGUGGGCAGAGGAAGGAAGAUAUGGGUUGCUGGACAUUACACCUAUUCAGAUUGAAAUGAAACCAAACCUUCCUCCAAUUAGAGUUAAGCAGUAUCCAAUUUCUGUAGAAGGAAAACAAGGACUGAAAGCAGUUAUCAAAAAUUUGCUGAAGGAAGGUAUAUUAGAACCAUGCAUGUCACCGCACAACACACCUAUAUUACCUAUCAGGAAACCAGAUGGUACAUAUCGUUUGGUUCAAGACUUACAAGAGGUAAAUAAACAAACAAUUACAAGGUAUCCUGUAGUUGCCAACCCAUAUAAUUUACUAAGUAAAGUACCAGCAACCCAUGCAUGGUUCAGUGUUAUAGAUUUAAAAGAUGCAUUUUGGUCGUGCCCACUAGAGAAAGAAAGCAGGAAAUGGUUUGCGUUUGAGUGGGAAGAUGAGGAGACUGGAAGGAAACAACAAUUACAGUGGACAAGGUUACCACAAGGUUUUACAGAGUCACCUAAUUUGUUUGGACAGACCUUGGAGGAAAUAAUGAAGUACUUUACACCUGAGGACAAUACCCAAGUUCUGCAAUAUGUGGACGAUUUAUUAAUUUCUGGAGAACAAAAGGAGGAGAUCAGAAGAUCCAAGCAGAGAAAUAGAGCAUUCUCCCACGCAUGUAGCAAUCUGGCCCUAAAAAGGAUAGAAGAAAGAAGUUGAUACAAAAGGGAAAGUGAACUCCUGCUACAGUAACUAGUAAGAGUAACACCUUAAGAAAAGGAGAAAGGGGGGCAAGACCGAAUCAAGUUACAUUCUCGCCAUAGAAAGUUGCUGAUCCUCUACGGAGGGGAGACAUGAUUGGGAGAGUGGCUUGUACCGGACCCCCGUUCCUAUGUAUCCUCCUACUUAUGAUCCUUGAUAAGGGAUGGACAGAACCAUGUGAAAAGUGUUACUACCCUUUGUACGCAGGAGAAUCUCGGACUGCCGUCCUCAGAACACACACUAACCCGAGUCCUAAUUGUAUCAACUUUUUAUCGGUAACAACAUGCAUAGAGGAUGGAAAAACAUAUUGGCUGUUCGAAAAUAUAGGAAAUUUUAAACAGAAAUUGUUGGGGGAAUGCCCUAUAAAAGAAAAGUAGAUCUGUUCUGCAAAGAAACCUACCAAAGGAUAAGUAAGAUAUGAGAAGGAUAAAUCUUAUUUGAUAAAAGAAAAAGAGAAAUAAAUGGAGUAAUUAAAAAGGGACUAAAAAUCUCAACUCUGGGAGAGAAACUAGUAUUGUUUUAAGCGGUGCUCUAAUAAUUAUCAUUUUUCUUCCCUGUAUGAUCACAUGCUUCAUCCGAGUCAUUACAAAAACAGUGAUCAACUCCCUCGAACUCACCCUCAAAAGUGGAGACAAGGACAAAGAUGCUAAAAGCAUUUUAAUGUUACAAGAACAAAGAGUGGAACCCAACCCGAUGACAGAGACGGAUGAGUCCGCAACAGAAACAUAUAGAAGAUACCAGAAAUUAAGAAAAUUAUAUACCAUAGAAGAAGAAACUGUUUAAAAACAGUUCAAAAUGAACUGUUGAAAAGACUUUAUAAAGAAAACUGUUUCAAAACUGUUCAAAAAUGGACUACUAAGAGACUGUUUAAGAGAAGACUGAAUGGAGUUGUUGAUGCGGGCUAAAGCCCGAUCAAAGUUUUAGAGGGGGGAGUUGUUAUAAGUUUGUUUUUUUUAUAAAGUUGGGGUUUGCUUGUUGUGGGGGAAGGGAAGUGUCCAGGACUUGGUGGGGGCUGGAGGUGGAUGGUGAUUGGACCAGGGCACUGACCAAUCACUCGACGCCCUGAGGAAAUGAUUGGUCCAGAAUGAACACCAGUAAGGACCAAUCAAAGCGCCCAAAUUCCACCAAUCGGUGCGCAGAUCCAAAAACCCACCAAUCCUGGACCAGGGUAGUAAUAAAAAGCGGGGUUUUCAGUUACUUGGGGGUUCUUUCAGUUUUGUUGUUGUUGGUGUAUUGUUUUGUGGAAGAACCCAACGUGUGUCUCACACGUUGUUAGAUGUUUUUGAGCUGUUGUGUGGGGAUUCUGGGCUUUUCCCAGGUCCCUUUGUUCUUACUGGCUUAUUUUUUUUAAUAAACGAGAACCUGUUCCUGCUCUGGAA